AGAAAUCUGCGAUGUGCGAUAUGCUCCUAUUAAUUCAACCGACAAAUCAGACACGGGAAACUGUGUUUAGUGUGAUAUGACAAGCCUCCAUCGAGUGGAAGUCAGAAGACUCUAAUAAGUUACCCACCUUAAUACAGGGCGGGUCUGAAUUAAUGGAGAAACGGCAUCGCGGAUUUUUA
rnacentral:other from 1 species